CUUUGUGUUGGAGAGGGGAGGGGGAGUUGAGAGCAGGGUCAGAGCGUUGCCGGGCAACGAAGCACACAGCUGCAGCAGCACACAGCUGCGACAGAUACUU